AUGAGGGGUUAAGAGUUCAUUCGGCUGUCCAGAUGUAUCCAAGUACCCUGUUAUUUGGCAAUAAAUACAUCUGGGCAACUGAUUGAACUUUUCGCUUCUCUU
rfam:Rattus norvegicus chromosome X, whole genome shotgun sequence.